GCAGAGUAGAUAGCAGAGCGUUAAGUGUUGCGUGAACGGGGAGUUGUCACGCAAACGAAAAGCCGUGUAUGAACGGUCUUGCGGUUCGGCUGUCGCAUCCCGCUGC
rnacentral:ncRNA from 1 species